UAGGGGAGCCGCAGGGAAACCGAGUCUUAACCGGGCGUUAAGUUGCAGGGUAUAGACCCGAAACCCGGUGAUCUAGCCAUGGGCAGGUUGAAGGUUGGGUAACACUAACUGGAGGACCGAACCGACUAAUGUUGAAAAAUUAGCGGAUGACCUGUGGCUGGGGGUGAAAGGCCAAUCAAACCGGGAGAUAGCUGGUUCUCCCCGAAAGCUAUUUAGGUAGCGCCUCGUGAAUUCAUCUCCGGGGGUAGAGCACUGUUUCGGCUAGGGGGCCAUCCCGGCUUACCAACCCGAUGCAAACUGCGAAUACCGGAGAAUGUUAUCACGGGAGACACACGGCGGGUGCUAACGUCCGUCGUGAAGAGGGAAACAACCCAGACCGCCAGCUAAGGUCCCAAAGUCAUGGUUAAGUGGGAAACGAUGUGGGAAGGCCCAGACAGCCAGGAUGUUGGCUUAGAAGCAGCCAUCAUUUAAAGAAAGCGUAAUAGCUCACUGGUCGAGUCGGCCUGCGCGGAAGAUGUAACGGGGCUAAACCAUGCACCGAAGCUGCGGCAGCGACACUGUGUGUUGUUGGGUAGGGGAGCGUUCUGUAAGCCUGCGAAGGUGGCCUGUGAGGGUUGCU
rnacentral:rRNA from 1 species